rnacentral:rRNA from 1 species
UGGGGAAUAUUGCACAAUGGGCGAAAGCCUGAUGCAGCGACGCCGCGUGAGGGAUGACGGCCUUCGGGUUGUAAACCUCUUUCGACAGGGACGAAGCGCAAGUGACGGUACCUGUAGAAGAAGCACCGGCCAACUACGUGCCAGCAGCCGCGGUAAUACGUAGGGUGCGAGCGUUGUCCGGAAUUACUGGGCGUAAAGAGCUUGUAGGCGGUUCGUCGCGUCGAUUGUGAAAACUUGCAGCUCAACUGCAAGCUUGCAGUCGAUACGGGCGGACUAGAGUACUUCAGGGGAGACUGGAAUUCCUGGUGUAGCGGUGAAAUGCGCAGAUAUCAGGAGGAACACCGGUGGCGAAGGCGGGUCUCUGGGAAGUAACUGACGCUGAGAAGCGAAAGCGUGGGUAGCGAACA